CGGUGUAAAAGACCACCAAGGCGACGAUGGGUAGCUGGUCUGAGAGGAUGGUCAGCCACACUGGGACUGAGAUACGGCCCAGACUCCUACGGGAGGCAGCAGUCGAGAGGCUUCGGCAAUGGGGGCAACCCUGACCGAGCGACGCCGCGUGGAGGAUGAAGGCCCUUGGGUUGUAAACUCCUUUUGUUAGGGAAGAAAUGCGAUCAGGUUAAUAAUCUGGUCGUUUGACGGUACCUGACGAAUAAGCUCCGGCUAACUCCGUGCCAGCAGCCGCGGUAACACGGGGGGAGCAAGCGUUGUUCGGAAUCACUGGGCGUAAAGGGCGUGUAGGCGGUCAGGUAAGUGGGACGUGAAAUGCCUCGGCUCACCCGAGGAGCGGCGUCCCAAACUGCUUGGCUUGAGUAUGGGAGAGGAUGUGGGAAUUCCUGGUGUAGCGGUGAAAUGCGUAGAUAUCAGGAGGAACACCGGUGGCGAAGGCGCACAUCUGGCCCAAUACUGACGCUGAGGCGCGAAAGCUAGGGGAGCAAACGGGAUUAGAUACCCCGGUAGUCCUAGCCGUAAACGGUGAUCACUAGGUGUUGGAGGCAUCGACCCCUCCAGUGCCGCAGCUAACGCAUUAAGUGAUCCGCCUGGGGAGUACGGCCGCAAGGUUGAA
rnacentral:rRNA from 1 species